ACAGUUUCGCUCUUUAUAGUUCUUUGUCUUACUAAGAUUAAUGUCGUUUUCGUUUUUAAAUUGCACUACACUGGUGUAGCGAAAGCUGCACUGAAACCGUUCGUUUUUACCAAUUGCACUACACCAGUGCUACACUUUUUCUGCACCGAUACCACUGGUGUAGCACUCAUCAAAAGUUUGGUGUAGCUCUGUGCAAUGGAAUCGUUUAUUGUAGUCAAUGGUUACUGUUUAUGUUUUCGUCAUUUUUGUUCGUUUAUUCAUGCCUCAGUGUAGCACUGCACCGGUGUAGUGCAAAUUAAAAACGAAAACGCCAUAAGAUUUUUAUAGAAUUCGAUUUUUUUUUCUUUGUUGUGUCACUAACGUGACAGGCUAAGGCCAGUGUUGGCCAAUCUUUCCCAAUUCGAAUUUUUAAGCAAAAUUGUAGGAUUUUGAAGUAUUUAUUGGUAGGAGAGAAACUCCUUUAAAAAACAGCUGAUAUCAAGUAAGGUGACGCCAGCCAGAAAAGAAAAAAAUGGUAAAAUAAUUCGCGAGAUGGUCCAUAGCGGGAAUAGCGAACGUUUCUCUUGUAUAUUGAAUAAAAUCACACGAAGUAAAAUGGAAUUUUUCCUUCAACGAGAUGGGAUACUAAAAGAGGAACAACCCGAAAACAGUCCUGCAGCCUUUUCCCCAUCGUCCGAUCCAACAAUCGAUUCCCUACUAAAGCUCGAACAUGAGAUUGGUAAUGAGGGAUUCCUAACUAGACACAUGUCUAUUCACCGAAAUGAGGGCAAAUAUAAAUGUGAAGUGUGUGGCAAAGCCUGGAAUAAUUGUACUAGCCUCACGAAACACAAACGCAUUCAUACGAACGAGAAGUUUAAAUGCACCAUAUGCGGGAAAGAUUAUACCACUAAGUAUGAUUUCAGCAAACACAUGAAAAUUCAUUUGGAUGAUUACGAGCAUAAGUGUGAUGUGUGCGGCAAAGGAUUCAUCUCUAAAUCGCGUUUGAAAGACCACAAAAAUAUUCACACCGGUGAACGGCCUUACGAAUGCGCUAUAUGCGGAAAAGACUUUCAUCGUAAAAAGAAACUUUCUGUACACAUGCGACUUCACACAAGCGAGCGACCGUUCAAAUGCACGGUAUGUGGAAAAGAAUAUGCCAUUAAGAAUUACUUAACUAAACACAUGUCUAUUCACCAAAGUGAUUACAAAUAUAAGUGCGAAGUGUGUGGUAAAGGCUUUAAUGAUAAUGGUAACCACGCGAGACACCAACGCAUUCAUACGAACGAAAAGUUUAAAUGUACCAUAUGCGAAAAAGAUUAUACCACAACGCAUAAUCUCAACAAACACAUGAACAUUCACGUGGAUGACUUCGAGCAUAAGUGCGAUGUGUGCGGCAAAGGAUUCUUCUACGAAUCACUUUUGAAAGACCACAAAAAUAUUCACACCGGUGAACGGCCUUAUAAAUGCACUGUAUGCGGGAAAGAUUUUCAAGGUAAACAAAAUCUUGCUAAGCACAUGCAAGUUCACUUUUAAAAGACCACGAACAUAGUCACACAGGUGAACGGCCUUUUUUAUCAGAACAAAUUGGCUCAAAUGUCACGUUUCCCUCGAUAUUUGGAGAUUUGUGCCUUCAUACGAACGAGAAGUAAGUGCACCAUAUGCGGAAAAGAUUUUAGCUCUAAGAUUGCCCAAGGAUUCACAAAAGCAAACAUUUAGAGGUAGUUUGGAAACAUUUAUUGAGGAACUCCACUCAUUAUAAUGAUUAACAUCCAACGAGAUCACAUUGAACGGUGUUCGUAUAUUACGAACCAACACCAUCAUGUUUGAGGGCACUUGACACUUCUGAAUAUCCUCCAUCAUUUUAGUAAACCGUCUCACAAAUUUGGGCAAACAGUACUGCGAUCUAUAAUUUUAUGACAAGACUAAUAUGUAUUAAUAAGACAAUUUUAUUGUCAGAUGAAUAAAUUUAAUGAAUAAGCAAAUAAAUUUGCUUAAAAAAAAUUAAAAUUGAAACUGCAUCUUAAAGUACACCAUUAAGGUAGACAACACGAAAAACAUCAAGUAACUUAAGAUUAAAUUCACCCUACUUUUGUCUUCGAAAAAUGUUUUUUGAAGAUCGGAAAUCUGUUUGUCUUUCUCAUAUAGGACCGUAAUUAGGAGGGCCGAGUGUCAUAUAAACUAUCAUUUAAGGGGACGAUGCAAGCUAAGUGAAAACUGUGGAACUGUGCUAGACUGUUCAAAAAUAUAGGUCUUUAAGGCUUUAUUGAUUUACUGUGCUAUUUCGAUAACGGCAAUAGUACUUAAAAUUUCUGAGAUCAAACUUGUAUAAAUUGCGUACAUUGCCAGUAGUUAGAAAGACAUCAUCAUUAAAAUGAACAACCGCAAUCGGGUGAAGCCGGGUAUAAAUAAUCGAUAUGGAAAUUUUAAAUGUAUGAAAACUGCAUGUGUAAAUAGUAUACUACUGUGGGCAAAAAGUGGGAAGACUUUUGAUUUAUAUUAUAUGUCUCUUUGAAUUAUUAAA